rnacentral:rRNA from 1 species
AUUGAACGCUGGCGGCAGGCCUAACACAUGCAAGUCGAGCGGGGUUUUCGGACCUAGCGGCGGACGGGUGAGUAAUGCGUAGGAAGCUACCCGAUAGAGGGGGAUACCAGUUGGAAACGACUGUUAAUACCGCAUAAUAUCUACGGACCAAAGUGUGGGACCUUCGGGCCACAUGCUAUCGGAUGCGCCUACGUGGGAUUAGCUAGUUGGUGAGGUAAUGGCUCACCAAGGCGACGAUCCCUAGCUGGUUUGAGAGGAUGAUCAGCCACACUGGAACUGAGACACGGUCCAGACUCCUACGGGAGGCAGCAGUGGGGAAUAUUGGACAAUGGGCGCAAGCCUGAUCCAGCCAUGCCGCGUGUGUGAAGAAGGCCUUCGGGUUGUAAAGCACUUUCAGCGAGGAGGAAGGGGUGAGUGUUAAUAGUACUCAUCUUUGACGUUACUCGCAGAAGAAGCACCGGUUAACUCUGUGCCAGCCGCCGCCGUAAUAC